rnacentral:rRNA from 1 species
AUACGGAGGAUGCGAGCGUUAUCCGGAUUUAUUGGGUUUAAAGGGUGCGUAGGCUGUUUGGUAAGUCAGGGGUGAAAUGCCGUCGCUCAACGACGGAGCUGCCCUUGAUACUGCCGAGCUGGAGUACGGAUGCCGUUGGAGGAAUGAGUGGUGUAGCGGUGAAAUGCAUAGAUAUCACUCAGAACACCGAUUGCGAAGGCAUAGGACGAAUCGGUCACUGAUGCUGAGGCACGAAAGCGUGGGGAUAGAACAGGAUUAGAUACCCUGGUAUUCCACGCCGUAAACGAUGAUGACUAACCGCCUGCGAUACAGUGUAGGUGGCCAAGCGAAAGCGAUAAGUCAUCCACCUGGGGAGUACGACCGCAAGGUUGAAACUCAAAUGAAUUGGCGGG